AAGUCGAACGGUGAACACGGAGCUUGCUCUGUGGGAUCAGUGGCGAACGGGUGAGUAACACGUGAGCAACCUGCCCCUGACUCUGGGAUAAGCGCUGGAAACGGCGUCUAAUACUGGAUAUGUGACGUGACCGCAUGGUCUGCGUCUGGAAAGAAUUUCGGUUGGGGAUGGGCUCGCGGCCUAUCAGCUUGUUGGUGAGGUAAUGGCUCACCAAGGCGUCGACGGGUAGCCGGCCUGAGAGGGUGACCGGCCACACUGGGACUGAGACACGGCCCAGACUCCUACGGGAGGCAGCAGUGGGGAAUAUUGCACAAUGGGCGCAAGCCUGAUGCAGCAACGCCGCGUGAGGGACGACGGCCUUCGGGUUGUAAACCUCUUUUAGCAGGGAAGAAGCGAAAGUGACGGUACCUGCAGAAAAAGCGCCGGCUAACUACGUGCCAGCAGCCGCGGUAAUAGGUAGGGCGCAAGCGUUAUCCGGAAUUAUUGGGCGUAAAGAGCUCGUAGGCGGUUUGUCGCGUCUGCUGUGAAAUCCGGAGGCUCAACCUCCGGCCUGCAGUGGGUACGGGCAGACUAGAGUGCGGUAGGGGAGAUUGGAAUUCCUGGUGUAGCGGUGGAAUGCGCAGAUAUCAGGAGGAACACCGAUGGCGAAGGCAGAUCUCUGGGCCGUAACUGACGCUGAGGAGCGAAAGGGUGGGGAGCAAACAGGCUUAGAUACCCUGGUAGUCCACCCCGUAAACGUUGGGAACUAGUUGUGGGGUCCAUUCCACGGAUUCCGUGACGCAGCUAACGCAUUAAGUUCCCCGCCUGGGGAGUACGGCCGCAAGGCUAAAACUCAAAGGA
rnacentral:rRNA from 1 species